rnacentral:rRNA from 1 species
GUCGCACGAGAAAGGGGAGCAAUCCCUGAGUAAAGUGGCGCACGGGUGAGUAACACGUGAAUCAUCUACCUCCGAGUGGGGAAUAACCUAGAGAAAUCUGGGCUAAUACCGCAUAACACUUACGAGUCAAAGCAGCAAUGCGCUUGGAGAGGAGUUCGCGGCCGAUUAGCUAGUUGGCGGGGUAAUGGCCCACCAAGGCGAUGAUCGGUAUCCGGCCUGAGAGGGCGCACGGACACACUGGAACUGAAACACGGUCCAGACUCCUACGGGAGGCAGCAGUGGGGAAUUUUGCGCAAUGGGGGAAACCCUGACGCAGCAACGCCGCGUGGAGGAUGAAAUAUCUUGGUAUGUAAACUCCUUUCGAUGGGGAAGAUUAUGACGGUACCCAUAGAAGAAGCCCCGGCUAACUUCGUGCCAGCAGCCGCGGUAAUACGAGGGGGGCAAGCGUUGUUCGGAUUUAUUGGGCGUAAAGGGUGCGUAGGCGGUUUGGCAAGUCUUAUGUGAAAUCUUCGGGCUCAACCCGAAGCCUGCAUAAGAAACUGCCGGGCUUGAGUAUGGGAGAGGUGAGUGGAAUUUCCGGUGUAGCGGUGAAAUGCGUAGAUAUCGGAAGGAACACCUGUGGCGAAAGCGGCUCACUGGACCAUAACUGACGCUGAUGCACGAAAGCUAGGGGAGCAAACGGGAUUAGAUACCCUGGUAGUCCUAGCC